rnacentral:rRNA from 1 species
GAUGAACGCUGGCGGCGUGCCUAAUACAUGCAAGUCGAGCGAACGGACGAGAAGCUUGCUUCACUGAUGUUAGCGGCGGACGGGUGAGUAACACGUGGAUAACCUACCUAUAAGACUGGGAUAACUUCGGGAAACCGGAGCUAAUACCGGAUGAUAUUUUGAACCGCAUGGUUCAAAAGUGAAAGACGGUCUUGCUGUCACUUAUAGAUGGAUCCGCGCUGCAUUAGCUAGUUGGUAAUGUAACGGCUUACCAAGGCAACGAUGCAUAGCCGACCUGAGAGGGUGAUCGGCCACACUGGAACUGAGACACGGUCCAGACUCCUACGGGAGGCAGCAGUAGGGAAUCUUCCGCAAUGGGCGAAAGCCUGACGGAGCAACGCCGCGUGAGUGAUGAAGGUCUUCGGAUCGUAAAACUCUGUUAUUAGGGAAGAACAUAUGUGUAAGUAACUGUGCACAUCGUGACGGUACCUAAUCAGAAAGCCACGGCUAACUACGUG